rnacentral:rRNA from 1 species
GACGAACGCUGGCGGCGUGCUUAACACAUGCAAGUCGAACGGAAAGGCCCUGCUUUUGUGGGGUGCUCGAGUGGCGAACGGGUGAGUAACACGUGAGUAACCUGCCCUUGACUUUGGGAUAACUUCAGGAAACUGGGGCUAAUACCGGAUAGGAGCUCCUGCUGCAUGGUGGGGGUUGGAAAGUUUCGGCGGUUGGGGAUGGACUCGCGGCUUAUCAGCUUGUUGGUGGGGUAGUGGCUUACCAAGGCUUUGACGGGUAGCCGGCCUGAGAGGGGGACCGGCCACAAUGGGACUAAGGGAGGGCCCAGACUCCUACGGGGGGCAAUGGGGGGAAAUAUUGCACAACGGGCGGAAGCCUGAUACAGCAACGCCGCGUGCGGGAUGACGGCUUUCGGGGUGUAAACCGCUUUCGCCUGUGACGAAGCGUGAGUGACGGUAAUGGGUAAAGAAGCACCGGCUAACUACGUG